rnacentral:rRNA from 1 species
CAGUCGAGGGGCAGCGGGGGAGUAGCAAUACUCCCGCCGGCGACCGGCGCACUGGUGAGUAACACGUAUGAAACCUGCCCGUAGCAGGGGGAUAAGCGGAAGAAAUUCCGUCUAAUACCGCGUAACAACCCAUGGAGGCAUCUCCGUGGGUUUAAAGGAAGCGAUUCCGGCUACGGAUGGUCAUGCGUCGCAUUAGCUUGUUGGCGGGGUAACGGCCCACCAAGGCGACGAUGCGUAGGGGUUCUGAGAGGAAGGUCCCCCACACUGGUACUGAGACACGGACCAGACUCCUACGGGAGGCAGCAGUGAGGAAUAUUGGUCAAUGGCCGCAGGGCUGAACCAGCCAAGUCGCGUGAGGGAUGACGGUCCUAUGGAUUGUAAACCUCUUUUGUCAGGGAGCAAAGGGCGCCACGUGUGGCGUUUUGCGAGUACCUGAAGAAAAAGCAUCGGCUAACUCCGUGCCAGCAGCCGCGGUAAUACGGAGGAUGCGAGCGUUAUCCGGAUUUAUUGGGUUUAAAGGGUGCGCAGGCGGAAUGUCAAGUCAGCGGUAAAAUUUCGGGGCUCAACCCCGUCGUGCCGUUGAAACUGGCGUUCUUGAGUGAGCGAGAAGUAUGCGGAAUGCGUGGUGUAGCGGUGAAAUGCAUAGAUAUCACGCAGAACUCCGAUUGCGAAGGCAGCAUACCGGCGCUCAACUGACGCUCAUGCACGAAAGCGUGGGUAUCGAACAGGAUUAGAUACCCUGGUAGUCCACGCAGUAAACGAUGAAUACUAACUGUCCGGGCAGAAUGAUG